GCAUCCACAAUCGUUCGUUCGUUCGUUGGUUUGCAAGCGCUGCCUCCGCGGUCGCGAAUUUUUGUCGGUGUCUUCAACUACGCGGUUUUUUACUGUGCGAGUGUGUACCGAGUUUCUCUUGAACUCGACUCCAUUCUUUUGCAAUCUACCGUUGCACCAGAGUCUUACGUUCCGAAAAUUGAUGAUGACCUGAGCUUACGAUAUCAUCGAUAACCGCAUCAUCGCUACUGACAUAAACUCUUCCGCAGCUUCCCGUUAGCCGUCGAUUUCAGAAACGAUGGACGAAUCGGAUCUCAUGGCCUACGAUCUAUGGCGUAUUCCAUUGUUUACGUACACCUCUUGCUUACACUUGGCGCUUAGGCGGAUGCAUCGAAACUCUCAUAUAAUCGUUCGUUGGCUCGAUGAUUUUUACGAGUCAAGAUUGAAACAUCGACACGUUACCACAACGCACUUCGCAGACUUGGGGAAAACAAAAAAUGUGAGUCUUU